rfam:Oryza brachyantha chromosome 10, whole genome shotgun sequence.
UGGCCGGUGACGAAAAACACGAUUAAAAACACCAUCUUUCGGGACUGAUUGGCCGCCCGCUAAGCGGCCAUGCUGCCAUUCGUUCUGCAAUUCCGAGGCCA